UCGGGAAUAUUGCGCAAUGGAGGAAACUCUGACGCAGUGACGCCGCGUGCAGGAAGAAGGUUUUCGGAUUGUAAACUGCUUUAGACAGGGAAGAAACAAGACAGUACCUGUAGAAUAAGCUCCGGCUAACUACGUGCCAGCAGCCGCGGUAAUACGUAGGGAGCAAGCGUUAUCCGGAUUUAUUGGGUGUAAAGGGUGCGUAGACGGGAAUGCAAGUUGGUUGUGAAAUCCCUCGGCUCAACCGAGGAAUUGCAACCAAAACUAUAUUUCUUGAGUGCUGGAGAGGAAAGUGGAAUUCCUAGUGUAGCGGUGAAAUGCGUAGAUAUUAGGAGGAACACCAGUGGCGAAGGCGACUUUCUGGACAGUAACUGACGUUGAGGCACGAAAGUGUGGGGGGCAAACAGG
rnacentral:rRNA from 1 species